CGUCGAAACCCCGUCAAGUCGCGGGGUCUGCAGCAGCUGGCGCCUGCCGCACUGAUGAGACAAGCCAAAG
rnacentral:hammerhead_ribozyme from 1 species